rnacentral:lncRNA from 1 species
UUAAAUUAAAUUUUAAAAUUUUAAAUUUUAAAAUUUAAAAUUUGCAAUUUUAAAAUUAAAAUUUAUAAUUCCAAAUUUUAAAGUUUAAAUUUUAAAUUUGAUAUUUUAAAUUUUUAAAUUUUUAAAUUUUAAAUUUUAUAUUUUAUAUUUUUUAAAUUUAAAUUUGGUCUUAAAUUUAAAAUUUAAAUUUUUUAAAUUAAAGAUUUGAAAAUUUAAAUUUGGAUUUUUAAUUUUAAAUUUUAAAAUUUAAACGUUAGACAUUUAAAUUUAAAAUUAUAAAUGCAAAAUUUAAAAAUUUAAAAUUUAAAUAUAAUGAGAUGAGUAAUAUUAUUAUUUUCAAUUUAUAACUACCCACUAUUCCUUUUAUUCCAUCUUAUUUAUCCAAACGCUAUUUUUCUUAUUUCCGAAAACAACCAAAUUUUCAUCAAAAUACAAAAAUUAGUUUAGUUCUCGCUUAUACCUAAACUUGUACCUAUCCCUGGUAUAAGCUAGUUCUUACUUAUAUCCGAAACAAACGAAGCCUUAUUGUUCUAGUUUAUUUUGUUAUCAAUUACCAUAAGAUCUUGUUCAAUUUUUGCUCAAAUAC